UCCGAUUCACCACCGGCAGUCCCCUUAGAGUCCCCGUCAUUACACGCUGGCAACUAAGGAUAAGGGUUGCGCUCGUUACGGGACUUAACCCAACAUUUCACAACACGAGCUGACGACAGCCAUGCAGCACCUGUCUCCUGGCUCCUUUCGGCACUCCUAUGUUUCCACAGGAUUCCAGGGAUGUCAAGGGCAGGUAAGGUUCUUCGCGUUGCAUCGAAUUAAACCACAUGCUCCACCGCUUGUGCGGGCCCCCGUCAAUUCCUUUGAGUUUUAGCCUUGCGGCCGUACUCCCCAGGCGGAGAACUUAUCGCGUUAGCUUCGAUACUAAACAGUCUAAGCUGCCUAACAUCUAGUUCUCAUCGUUUACAGCGUGGACUAC
rnacentral:misc_RNA from 1 species